rnacentral:lncRNA from 1 species
CUUCAUUUUUUUUUUCUUCAUUUUUUUGUUUUUCUUCUAUACUGUUUUCUUGUUUUAUCAUCGUUUUUUGGUUACUUGUUUUAAUUAUUUCAUUGCUUUCGAGUUGUUUAUUUUUUUUUUUAGUUUCAUUAUUAGACUCAUGAUUAAUCACACUAUUAGCCUCAUUAUUAUUAUUAUUAUUAUUACUACUUACAUUUAUCACUUUUUCUACAUCUAUGUUUACAUUUUUUUUCUUUUCAUUUUCCUUUUUCUUUUCAUUUUCCUUUUUCUUUUCAUUUUCCUUUUCCUUUUCAUUUUCCUUUUCCUUUUCAUUUUCAUUUUCAUUUUCAUUUUCAUUUUCAUUUUCCUUUUCAUUUUUCUGUUCAUUUUCCUGUUCAUUUUCAUUUUUCUUUUUUUUUUUCUUUUUUUUUCUUGCCUUUUUUUGAAAUAAAUCAUUAGUAUUUAGGUAGUUGUAUCCGAUAUAGUUAUACUUAAAAAAAAAUAAAAAAAAAAAUUGAAAAUUGGGCA